rnacentral:miRNA from 1 species
CUGCCUGGCUCCCUGUAUGCC